rnacentral:rRNA from 1 species
UUGAACGCUGGCGGCAGGCCUAACCCCUGCAAGUCGCAUGGUAGCAGGAAACAGCUUGCUGUUUCGCUGACGAGUGGCGGACGGGUGAGUAAUGUCUGGGAAACUGCCUGAUGGAGGGGGAUAACUACUGGAAACGGUAGCUAAUACCGCAUAACGUCGCAAGACCAAAGAGGGGGACCUUCGGGCCUCUUGCCAUCAGAUGUGCCCAGAUGGGAUUAGCUAGUAGGUGGGGUAACGGCUCGCCUAGGCGACGAUCCCUAGCUGGUCUGAGAGGAUGACCAGCCACACUGGAACUGAGACACGGUCCAGACUCCUACGGGAGGCAGCAGUGGGGAAUAUUGCACAAUGGGCGCAAGCCUGAUGCAGCCAUGCCGCGUGUAUGAAGAAGGCCUUCGGGUUGUAAAGUACUUUCAGCGGGGAGGAAGGGAGUAAAGUUAAUACCUUUGCUCAUUGACGUUACCCGCAGAAGAAGCACCGGCUAACUCCGUG